GUGCUUGCUUCAGCAGCACAUAUGCUAAAAUUGGAACAAUAUAGAGAAGAUCAGCGUGACCCCUGCGGAAGGAUGACAUGCAAAUUUGUGAAGCAUCCCAUAUUUUU
rnacentral:snRNA from 1 species